AUUGAACGCUGGCGGCAGGCUUAACACAUGCAAGUCGAACGAGUGGCGGACGGGUGAGUAAUGUAUGGGAACGUGCCUGAUGGCGGGGGAUAACUACUGGAAACGGUAGCUAAUACAGCAUACCAUCGGAUGUGCCCAGAUGGGAUUAGCUAGUUGGUGGGGUAACGGCUCACCUAGGCGACGAUCCCUAGCUGGUUUGAGAGGAUGACCAGCCACACUGGAACUGAGACGCGGUCCAGACUCCUACGGGAGGCAGCAGUGGGGAAUAUUGGACAAUGGGGGAAAGCCUGAUGCAGCCAUGCCGCGUGUAUGAAGAAGGCCUUCGGGUUGUAAAGUACUUUCGGCGGAGAAGCGUUACCCGCAGAAUAAGCACCGGCUAACUACGUGCCAGCAGCCGCGGUAAUUC
rnacentral:rRNA from 1 species